CUGCGCUCCGCCCACACGACAGCCUUUAUUCCUGUUUCGUCAUGAGCAUCCCGCAUGCCAUUCCAUGACCCGGCGUCUCCGUCGGUGGCCCCGCCCCUGCCCUGCGUCCUUUCACAUCCCUGUUAACCACGCCGGUCACGCUCAUUCUGUUGACCCCACGUCCCUCCCUGAGCCCAUUUCCCUACUUUCCACUCUAGUAAUUCCUCUGCUGCCCUCUGCCUGAUCUCACCCCUCCCACAAUCUCGACCAGUUUUGUCAUGCCCUGACGAGCCGCCACGCCACGCCACGCCCUUCACGCAACAACUAAGUCCCACGUCUUCAGGUCAUGCCCCUCCCAACAGUGCCGUCGCCGGCGUGGUUUCCCACGGUGUCCAGGCCCCGCCCCUCAGGCGCGGGUCACAAUUCUUCUUGCGCUCCCCGCCCCUCCUUCUUGGCCAAUCCCGGCGCUCUGCCCUUGCCACGCGGCACGACUAUGCGUUAUACAUUGGCCAGGCUUGUCCCGCGCAUGCGCAUUUCCCCGCGUUCCGUCCUGGCCACUCCCUGAGUUCCCAGGCUGUUCGGUUUCACUUCUACUCUGGCUGGGUGCGCGGCGCUUUAUCUCCCCCUGCUGGUGGAGCCUAGUCCUGGGAAGCCACGGAGGAAUGGGAGGGGCCCACAAGUUUCUGAAGAAAACCGUCCAGGUCUCAGAGCUAGACUUCAGCGGCAUUUGUAGAGUGAAACGGGCCUGCGGAUACCUGAUCCCGGUCUAAAAAUUGACUUUCUUCAUAUUUCUCCCAGCUCCAAACCCCACAACUCCAUGAGCAGAAACCGGAGUACUAUGUUCCAACGACAAAUAAGACAAACCUCAAGGAGCUUACAGCCUGAAGUUUCCCACCUUAGGUUUGGAUGAGACGAAAACUGAUGAGAAAGUAAGGAAGGUGUAGUAAGGAGGUUGGCUAAUAGGUGCAAAAGGACUUGAUUAGCCCUGAGCUAACAUCUGCUGCCAUUCCUCCUCUUUCUGCUGAAGAAGAC